AUGAUUUCUUUUUAAUAUGUUGUGUACAGACUUAAUUACUUCUCUGUCUACUUUUCUUACUCCAUGCAGGUUUCCCAGAGACUAUGGGUUGAGGAGGAAUUGGAAGUUUGUCGGCUUAGACCUGGUGUCAUUCCAUCAGUGUUAAACUUCCCAGCUCAUCUUGGAAGAGUACGUGCCAGAAAGACCACGACCAAGCAGCCUUGAGAUCUUAGGCAGCGUCUCCCUCAGACCAAAGAACUACAGACUCUUCACAACCUGCUCAAACUCUUGGUACAGGACCUCACCACACGGGUCAAGAAGGUUUCCAUCUCAUUUCUACUCUGAAGCUCACCUUCUCCUGCUCAAACUGCUGACAAAUGUUUCUGCUGCUCUAAAGUCUGCUCUCCAGAACUUCCUAAAAACUCUCAAAGUCUCUUCUGCUGCAGGUUGCUUUGUAGAACUGUUCCAGAAAACCUCACUAAACCACAUGGAGGGGCCUCAAGAUAGUCGUCCAAAUGAAACCAUACAAAAACCAAACUAGCACAACCCAAACGCUAAAGUCUCCUGCAGCCUACCAGAGAACCUCUGAGAACAGAGAAUCAGGACAGGAACUCUUACCUUCUGGACAACCAACGUUGGUUCACAAACAAGAAUACAGAAUGUGUCUGACCAGAAACCUCUGAAGACUCACUACAGCCAAGAUAAAGACACAACUCAACUGCAUCAAAUCCACUAAUCACUGCACACAUUAUCACCAUGUGCUAACUGUGACUAAAGAACCUCAUUUACCAAGACAGCUAUCCAGUACAAAGCCCUAAAACACACCAAGAAACACAUUAAAGAUGAUUUUACUGCUGGAAGCUGCAAGCCAACGCCUAAAGAACAAACUAAAGCAACGAAGCCAAACCCAGUUCACUGGUGAAGAGAAACAGAGGAAAUGUUUGUCUGCAGCUAAAUAAAGCAGGAAGACACUGAGCUGCUCAGGUGUUCCUGAUAACACCAAGCAGCCACCUGGACAGCCAAUAGGAACACAGCCACCUGGACAGCCAAUAGGAACACAGCCACCUGGACAGCCAAUAGGAACGCAGCUUACUGGAAGUCCAGAGGGCUGGGUUAGUGAAGGAAAUUUAGUUUAAAGUUGAAGCAGAAAGUUAACAAAGAAAGUUGAAAACCACCUUCUGAUCCCUGGAAUCUCUGAGUUUUCACACAAAGAACACCUGAACAUGUCAAACUGGUUCCAUAGUAGAACCAUCAUUGUAAAAACGUCAUAGUAUGGUGUGUUGCUCAAAAAACAUUAGGACCCGGCUGUCAGGGGACAAACAUGUAAGAAACAUGAGAACAGAGAGAACCCAACCAGUAGGUCACAGUUUAUCAUCAUCUAAUCAUCUCCUGAAGUCCAUAUGGUGAGAGACAUCAGUAUCUGGUUGUUCAUUUACCAGAGGAUGCUUAUAAUCAUGCUGAUGUGGUCUGUACUCUACAGUAUUUUAGUGACUCAAUAAAUGCCUAAGUUGUUUUUUUAAAAUGCUUUUUAGUUUUUAAUAAACAUUUAACAGCC